UACGUAGGGUGCAAGCGUUAUCCGGAAUUAUUGGGCGUAAAGAGCUCGUAGGCGGCUUGUCGCGUCUGCUGUGAAAACCGGAGGCUCAACCUCCGGCCUGCAGUGGGUACGGGCAAACUAGAGUGCGGUAGGGGAGAUUGGAAUUCCUGGUGUAGCGGUGGAAUGCGCAGAUAUCAGGAGGAACACCGAUGGCGAAGGCAGAUCUCUGGGCCGUAACUGACGCUGAGGAGCGAAAGCAUGGGGAGCGAACAGG
rnacentral:rRNA from 1 species